AGGACGACGCUGGCGGCGUGCCUAACACAUGCAAGUCGAGCGGGGUCCAUCCGGUAGCAAUACCGGGGAAGACCUAGCGGCGAACGGGUGAGUAACACGUGAGAAACCUGCCCCGAAGUCUGGGAUAACCCGAGGAAACUCGAGCUAAUACCGGAUGUCUUCUUCUGAUCGCAUGGUCGGAUGAAGAAAGAUUUAUCGCUUCGGGAGGGUCUCGCGGCCUAUCAGCUAGUUGGCGGGGGUUAAACGGGCCCACCCAAGGCGUCGACGGGUAGCUGGUCUGAGAGGACGAUCAGCCACACUGGGACUGAGACACGGCCCAGACUCCUACGGGAGGCAGCAGUGGGGAAUAUUGCGCAAUGGGCGAAAGCCUGACGCAGCAACGCCGCGUGCGGGAUGAAGGCCUUCGGGUUGUAAACCGCUUUCAGUGGGGACGAAUUCAGACGGUACCCACAGAAGAAGCCCCGGCCAACUACGUG
rnacentral:rRNA from 1 species